UCAAGCAAAAAAGAGCGCAGGGUGGAUGCCUUGGCACUAAGAGCCGAAGAAAGACGUGAUAAGCUGCGAAAAGCUGCGGGGAGGAGCAAAUAUCCACUGAUCCGCAGAUGUCUGAAUGGGGAAACCCGCAUGAGCACACCUCAUGCAUCCAUACGCCAAUCCAUAACGUAUGGAGGGGAACCGCCUGAACUGAAACAUCUAAGUAGGGCGAGGAAGAGAAAGAAAAUUUAUCGAUUUCCAAAGUAGCGGCGAGCGAAAUGGAAAGAGGCCAAACCGGAGUGCGUGCACUCCGGGGUUCGGACCGCAUUUAAGAUUCAGUGAUUCUAGCAGAAAGGUUUUGGGAAAGCCUGCCGGAGAGGGUGAAAGCCCCGUAAGCGAAAGAGGAACUGACUGAGCGGUAUCCAGAGUACAUCGAGACACGAGAAACCUUGAUGGAAUGAGCGGGGACCACCCCGUAAGCCUAAAUACUCCUUAGUGACCGAUAGCGCAUAGUACUGUGAAGGAAAGGUGAAAAGGACCCCGGGAGGGGAGUGAAAGAGAACCUGAAACCCUGUGUUUACAAGCUGUGGGACAUCUUUACAUGAUGAACCGCGUACUUUUUGUAGAACGGUCCGGCGAGUUGCGGAUGCCGGCAAGGUUAAGCACUUAAGGUGUGGAGCCGAAGGGAAACCAAGUCUGAAGAGGGCGCAUAUAGUCAGUAUCCGCAGACCCGAAACCGGGUGAUCUACCCAUGUCCAGGUUGAAGUUGCCGUAAAAGGCAAUGGAGGACCGAACGCACAUCCGUUGAAAAGGGUGGCGAUGAGGUGUGGGUAGGGGAGAAAUUCCAAUCGAACCCGGAGAUAGCUGGUUCUCCUCGAAAUAGCUUUAGGGCUAGCCUCGUUUUAGUCUUAUGGAGGUAGAGCACUGAAUUUCCGCGGGGGCGUCAAAGCUUACCAAAGAAUAUCAAACUCCGAAUGCCAUGUAGAUGAUGAACGGGAGUCAGACUGCACGAGAUAAGUUGGGCAGUCAAAAGGGAAAGAGCCCAGACCGCCAGCCAAGGUCCCAAAGUGUGUGUUAAGUGGAAAAGGAUGUGGGAUCUCCAAGACAACUAGGAUGUUGGCUCAGAAGCAGCCACACAUUCAAAGAGUGCGUAACAGCUCACUAGUCGAGAGGUCCUGCGCCGAAAAUGUCCGGGGCUGAAACACAACACCGAAGCUGCGGAAUUGCGAAUGCAAUUGGUAGAGGAGCAUUCUUAAUACCGACGAAGCUGUACCGGAAGGAGCAGUGGAGGGAUAAGAAGAGAGAAUGCCGGAAUGAGUAGCGAGAGAGAGGUGGGAAUCCUCUCGGCCGAAUAUCCAAGGUUUCCAGAGUAAAGCUGAUCUGCUCUGGGUAAGUCGGGGCCUAAGGCGAGGUCAAAAGACGUAGCCGAUGGACAACAGGUUUAGAUUCCUGUACCGCAUAUAAACAGAACUGUGGGGACGCAUGGGGAGAGCAUGGGCCGGGAAUGGAAAUACCGGUGCAAGCGAAGGAGGUGUGCAGCCGGCAAAUCCGCUGCAUGAGCCGAAAGCGUGACGCGGAGCGAAAUGAAAGUAGCGAAGCAUGUGAGCCCUGUGCCGAGAAAAGCCGCUAUUGCUUUAUAUGUGCCCGUACCGUAAACCGACACAGGUGGAUGAGGAGAGAAUCCUAAGGCCGGCGGAAGAAGUAUUGUUAAGGAACUCGGCAAAAUGACCCCGUAACUUCGGGAGAAGGGGUGCCCAUGAAAGUGGGCCGCAGAGAAUAGGCUCAAGCAACUGUUUAGCAAAAACACAGGUCUAUGCGAAACCGAAAGGUGAAGUAUAUGGGCUGACGCCUGCCCGGUGCUGGAAGGUUAAGAGGAGAGGUUAGCGCAAGCGAAGCUUUGAAUUUAAGCCCCAGUAAACGGCGGCCGUAACUAUAACGGUCCUAAGGUAGCGAAAUUCCUUGUCGGGUAAGUUCCGACCCGC
rnacentral:rRNA from 1 species